UUACUCUGACCUGUCUGCUCGAUGACAAACAUUUCCUUUUAAGCGCGCUUGAGCCAGAGGCGUCUUGGGAUGGGUGACCACCUGGGAAGUCCUGGUUACCGGGUGCA
rnacentral:rRNA from 1 species